CGUUCCUGUAGAGGAAAAAAAAGUUCAAUUUACAACGUAUUCUGUAUGUUUUUAUUGCACUUCUACAGAUUUUAAAUUUAAAAAAAGGAUGGCCAUUAGUAGUCAUUAAACAACUUUUAGUCCUUACCUUGCAGGAUUGAAGAUGAAACACUAUUAGCCAUUAUUUGAAUAUAAUGCCUCCGAUUUUCCAAAACUUAUUGCUCAGUAGUUCAACAAGUAUUAUAACUGCAGAGUAGAAUUCUUUGCAAUAUAGUAAAUUUAGGUAAUUUUCACUGCACGUACUUGCAGCUGUGGGGGGGUUCAACUAAUCUAUGUUAUGACACUUGUUGCCACAUCCAGCAAUAGCUUUGUUUUAAGUAGAUAACAGACCAAAUAUUAAGGGUCUAUACCAAUAAGGGAAAUAACAAAUGGUUACUUUUAUCAUUUAGAAGUGUCAUCAAAAGGCAAUUAACUGAAAUCUGGCAGACAUUCUGAAUUCAGUUGAUGUCAUCCCAUAAAUUAAUGUACUGAAAGCAGAAGUAUAAUUGUAUAAGAUUAGCUGCACAACAUUUAUCCUUUGCAGAUAGAAGAGGCUCGAGAUAUUUGGAUGAAUUCUUGGAGACAAGUCACUGUGUUUUCAGAAUAUAUUGAAUACAAUGUCAAAUAAUUACAAGAAACUAGAUUAAUCAAAUACCUUAACUGCUUGAUUCUUCAUGUUGACUGGAGGAUUUCUUAAUGCUGCAUGGAACGCACUAAGCAUAUCACCUGUACAGGAUUACUGGUUAAGGAACACCCUCCUCCUAUCCUACUUGGAGACUGGAGUCGAGCAGGGCGAGCAUGGGCCAUGUCCUGCGGCGGGGCAGAGUGAGUGUGGGCCGAGUCCCUCGGCAGCGGCAGAGCAAGUCCCAGAUGGAGGCUGGCACCUGGAGGCAGCAUGGCCUUGUGCUCUGGGGCCAGUGGGCAUGGACUGGAACUUAAGGACAAAGUGAGCAGCAGUAACCCCGUUCGUCCUUCUACCCAUUUCCACACUGAGAUCAGAUAAUAGUGAAGUCUUAAGGUGCUGAUCACAGCGGGGAAAACAUUGGAAGUAAAAAA